AUACGGAGGAUCCGAGCGUUAUCCGGAUUUAUUGGGUUUAAAGGGUGCGCAGGCGGGAUGUUAAGUCGGCGGUGAAAUUUUGCAGCUCAACUGUAAAAGUGCCUUCGAUACUGGCUUCCUUGAGUGUGGAUGAAGUAGGCGGAAUUUGUGGGGUAGCGGUGAAAUGCUUAGAUAUCACGAGGAACUCCGAUUGCGCAGGCAGCUUACUAAACCACUACCGACGCUCAUGCACGAAGGCGUGGGGAUCAAACAGGAUUAGAUACCCUGGUAGUCCACGCAGUAAACGAUGAUUACUAGUUGUUUGCGAUACAAUGUAAGCGACCGAGCGAAAGCGUUAAGUAAUCCACCUGGGGAGUACGUUCGCAAGAAUGAAACUCAAAGGGAUUGACGGGG
rnacentral:rRNA from 1 species